rnacentral:rRNA from 1 species
UACAGAGGUCCCAAGCGUUGUUCGGAUUUACUGGGCGUAAGGGUGCGUAGGUGGCGAGGUAAGUUCGAUGUGAAAUCUCCGAGCUCAACUCGGAAAUGGCAUUGAAUACUAUCCCGCUUGAGGGUCGGAGGGGAGACUGGAAUUCUCGGUGUAGCAGUGAAAUGCGUAGAUAUCGAGAGGAACACCAGUGGCGAAGGCGAGUCUCUGGACGACUCCUGACACUGAGGCACGAAAGCGUGGGGAGCAAGA